rnacentral:rRNA from 1 species
CAUUAGCUAGUCGGCGGGGUAACGGCCCACCGAGGCGACGAUGCGUAGGGGUUCUGAGAGGAAGGUCCCCCACACUGGUACUGAGACACGGACCAGACUCCUACGGGAGGCAGCAGUGAGGAAUAUUGGUCAAUGGCCGGGAGGCUGAACCAGCCAAGUCGCGUGAGGGAAGACGGCCCUACGGGUUGUAAACCUCUUUUGUCAGGGAGCAAGAGGCGGGUCGAGACCUGCUGUGAGAGUACCUGAAGAAAAAGCAUCGGCUAACUCCGUGCCAGCAGCCGCGGUAAUACGGAGGAUGCGAGCGUUAUCCGGAUUUAUUGGGUUUAAAGGGUGCGCAGGCGGAGGCACAAGUCAGCGGUAAAAUCGCGGGGCUCAACCCCGCUCCGCCGUUGAAACUGUGUCCCUUGAGUGCGCGAAGGGUAGGCGGAAUGCGUGGUGUAGCGGUGAAAUGCAUAGAUAUCACGCAGAACUCCGAUCGCGAAGGCAGCCUACCGGCGCGCAACUGACGCUCAUGCACGAAAGCGUGGGUAUCGAACAGGAUUAGAUACCCUGGUAGUCCACGCAGUAAACGAUGAAUGCUA